rnacentral:rRNA from 1 species
ACAGCAGUCGCCGCGGGAAUACGUAGGUGGCGAGCGUUGUCCGGAAUCAUUGGGCGUAAAGGGAGCGCAGGCGGGCAUGUAAGUCUUUCUUAAAAGUGCGGGGCUCAACCCCGUGAUGGGAAAGAAACUAUGCGUCUUGAGUACAGGAGAGGAAAGCGGAAUUCCCAGUGUAGCGGUGAAAUGCGUAGAUAUUGGGAGGAACACCAGUGGCGAAGGCGGCUUUCUGGACUGCAACUGACGCUGAGGCUCGAAAGCCAGGGGAGCGAACGGGAUUAGAUACCCCCGUAGUCCCUGUCUCUUAUACA